rnacentral:misc_RNA from 1 species
UCCCCGUUACCGGGGCAGUCUGAAUAGAAAAAUCCAACUAUUCAUAAGGGUUGCGCUCGUUGAUGGACUUAACCAAACAUCUCACGACACGAGCUGACGACGGCCAUGCAACACCUGUCACUAGGUUCCUUGCGGCACUCUCGCCUUUCGGCAAAAUUCCUAGGAUUUCAAGCCUUGGUAAGGUUCUUCGCUUACCAUCGAAUUAAACAACACGCUCCACCGCUUGUGCGGGUCCCCGUCAAUUCCUUUAUGUUUUAGCCUUGCGGCCGUACUCCACAGGCGGGAUGCUUAACGCGUUAGCUUCGCUACUGAAGGGGUCGAUACCUCCAACAGCUAGCAUCCAUCGUUUACGGCGUGGACUAC